AUGAUGUGUUUCAUGAAUUGUCAGUUGAUAUGUGUUGUGUUUCAUGCAGAUCCAGUCAUACAUAUAUGUUGUUCAGUCAAACAAAAUUUAGUUAAAUGUGUUUUCUUUUAUCUUCCAUUAAACAGUGUUAUCUUUCAAGCAUUUUCAAUUAUAUGUUGUCUCAGUUCUCAGAAUUCAGAGAAGUGCUGUCAAAAUGUGCCCAUAUUUAGUCAGAUGUGUGCCGGAGUUGCAGCUAUAUGUUCCUCUCUAUCAAAAUGUUGUCAAUAUAUGCCCAAAUUUUGUCAGAUGUGUGGCCAAUUUUAG
rnacentral:rRNA from 1 species